CUAGUUUCCCGAUCGCUUCUGCCCUAGCGCCGGUUGCCACUACUUUUGUGCCAGCCGACGCCACUGCCCUAGUGCUCUCUGCCUUGGUCAAAUCCACGCAAAUUAUCUUUGCUGGCUGUAAACAAUCCUAAUUGGGCAACCACUUUGUGACUUCCAGCAGCGGUUGAAUUGAGGAUGAUGCUGUCAGGAGAGAGUUCUAGUUGCUGGUCCCCUGAAGACCCGA